CAGCAGUCCAGUUUGGGUUAAAGGGCCAAACGUUACUGAUUCCUGCUGUAGGUAGUACUUACCUGAAAUAGCAAAACCUGGGUUGUAAAGCAAGGUCUGUAAUUAAUUUCCAACAGUUGAUCAGCCGUAUAACCUUGGGAAGUCAUCCUACCUUUACUGAGCUUCUCCAUUCUCUUACUGGACUAAACCUAUACAAAUGGGGACCUGUAUGUGUGUGCAGGUGAAAGUCCAUGAGUGUGUGAGAGAGAACAUGCAUGUAGCUUUCAUGGAUAGACUUUGGACCCUAGCUAGCCCAGAAGGUGUGACCAAUAUGCUUAUACAUGUAUUUAUGUUUCUCAUAAACGCUCUAACACUUCAUGAGAUACAGCAGAAACAGUUGGGAGUGACUAAGGAUUACUGGUAGUAAUUUUAAGCAGCAGUAAAUCUUAAGAGAACAAGAUAAAAAAAUCAUACAUACACACAAUUUGCCAUUAGAUAAGGGACUGUAAACUUUUCAAUACUACUUUUGUCUGUUUAUUUGGUGGAGGAAUGACGAGAGAUGCACGUGCAGUAGCCAAAGAUAAAAAUAAUAAAAAGUUAGAUAUGCACAAAAGUUAAUCAUACAAGAACUGGAAAUACAUUCAAAUAAUUGUAAGCCUAUAAGAAACACUGUAAAAUAGAUUAUCUUAUGUUUAACUUUUUUUAAGCUUCAAUAUUCACUUUUAUUAUUUAUAAAAAAAAAUUAAGGU
rnacentral:lncRNA from 10 species